rnacentral:rRNA from 1 species
UACGGAGGGGGCUAGCGUUGUUCGGAAUUACUGGGCGUAAAGCGCACGUAGGCGGCGAUUUAAGUCAGAGGUGAAAGCCCGGGGCUCAACCCCGGAAUUGCCUUUGAGACUGGAUUGCUAGAAUCUUGGAGAGGCGGGUGGAAUUCCGAGUGUAGAGGUGAAAUUCGUAGAUAUUCGGAAGAACACCAGUGGCGAAGGCGGCCCGCUGGACAAGUAUUGACGCUGAGGUGCGAAAGCGUGGGGAGCAAACAGG